UGCCGCUGCCAGGGGCGUCCCGGCGCGGGGAAGGAGCCUUGGCCCCCAGGCGGCCCCCGCACCAGCCUCCCGCCUCGGCCCGAGCCCGGCGGCGGCCCCCCCAUGGGGCUGAGCCCGGGGCUCCUGCUCAUCGGCGGCUCCUUCGCGGCGUUCCGGCUGCUGAACCGCGGGCUGGAGCGGCUGGUGCCUCCGCCGCGCCCCGCGCUCCGCAACCGCUGGAAGUGGCGAAACAUCUGGACCUCGUUCGCGCACAGCCUGCUGAGCGGCGCCGGGGCGCUGCUGGGGUUCUAUCUCCACCCGCAGAUGGCGGAGGACCUGAUCGGAACUCACUCCCCGGCUGCACACAGCCUGGUCUCAGUAUCUAUAGGAUAUUUUCUCCAAGAUUUUGUGGAUAUGUUGUGUAAUCAGAAGUUUCACCAGUCCUGGGAGCUGCUUUUCCAUCACUCGGUGGUGAUUAUCUGCUUUAGCUUGACAGUGCUGGUUCAUCAAUAUAUUGGAUUCGCUCUUGUGGCUUUGCUUGUAGAGAUUAACUCCAUCUUCCUGCACCUGCGACAGAUUCUGCUAAUGGCCAACCUGGUGCACAGCACCUGUUACCGCCUCAACAGCAUCAUAAAUCUGGGCACCUACAUAGUGUUUCGCAUCACGACACUGGCCUGGAUGACACGCUGGCUGGUCCUAAACCGUGAGAACAUACCGCUGGCAACAUAUACUGUGGGCACAGUGGGCAUGGCCAUCAUGACACCCAUGAACAUCAUCCUCUUCUACCGCUUACUGCGCAGUGACUUCCUCAAGUCCAGCCGGGAGGCGUGGCGGGAGAAGGAGAAAUAGUCCUGCCCCCAUUGCCCUGCAGGCUGUCCAGGAAAUCAGCAGCCCAGGGGUCAGAGAGGAGGGACUGCAGCCAGCGGAGAGUAAGCACUGAUGUGGACAGGAGUGUGUCAGUGUCUUGUUUGAAGGAAUGGAGGACAACUACAGUCCUCUCAAGAUGAGAUUCCUGGGCUUUCCUGGGGGUUGCAGUUGCUUUAUAACACCACCUGACAGCUGUGGGGAGACUGAGUGGACAUGGCAGGGAAGGAAGGCCUUUCCAGGCCAGAAUUCAGGGCUUUGUUUCCUCUCUGCACUCUCUGCUGGGAUGAUCGGUUGACGGGUGGCUGCUUGAGGGAGCUCUGAAGAGGAUUCUGCAGCAGCAUGGGGCCGUGGCUUAGAUGAGGAGAGGGUUGUCCUUCUCACAGUACUGAUGUGUGAACUUAGAAAAUCAUCUUAGCUUUUUGAAACACCUUGUCUCUGCGCAGCUGGGCUGGAAAUCCUCAGGGCCUUCCAGGGGGACAGUCUGAAACAACUGGCUAAGAAAUGCUGAGACUGAGAUGCCCAUCGUCUAGGAAGGCGUGUGGAAUUUCAGCAGGUUAAAAGGCAGCAAAUUCUGGGGAAUCCAGGUAUAUUCCUCUCCAUGGUGGGGAGAAGACAAACUGUGUGGGAGCAGCCAGCAGUUGGGAGCUGGGGUGUGGCCAGACCUGCAUAUGUUUCCAUUUGUUCUUCAGGCUGGAAAGUGCAGCAAAGCCUGCAGGUAAGAAUCUGGAGUUUAGGGUUUUGGUUUGUCACCAGUAGGAAAACUUCUCAGCAGAUAAUCUUACCCCACUGGGUAUGUGAGCCUGUGGCACUUGGUGUCACCAUAAGUCAUAUGUUGUGUCCAGUUCCCAUUUACAGCACCCAUGGCAGAGAUGGCAGCCAGCCCUUUCUCCUUGGGUUAACCCUGUCUGUGUCCAGUUCUGUACAGCAAGCGAACUCUGCUCUAGCUGCUGAGUGAUUGAGUUGAAUUACCAUAGCACCUAGGAGCCCCAGUCGUGGAGCAGGACCCCACCGUGCUAGGUGCUGUGCAAACACAGAACAAAAAGAGGUGCUUGCCCCAAAGAGGUUCCAAUCUAAGUACCAGUGAAGACUGAGUUAGCCUUUGCGUUCUGGCCGAGCGUGCUGCUCAGAUGCAGAGCCACAGGUUUAGAUGGGCCUACAGCCUGGAUUGAGUUCUGUUCUAAACUGUAUUUUGUUGCCCUUCAGGGCAGCAUGCUGCCUCUUCUCUCCUCCAAUCUGACUUCCCCACUUCACUGCACUGGAACUCCUCUCCCAAGUCCUUCAUGACGACACCUCAGGCCAGUGGCCUGACACAGAUGAUCGUUCCUUCCUGGGCGUCUGCAGAUCAGUGCUCUUCUGAGUGAUCCUUCAUCAUGUCCUCCCCUUCCCCUAUGGCAGAGCUGCUCAGAGGUUUUUGCUUGGCCCUGUAACCUGGCUUCCUGUAUUUCCCAGUUGUAAUCACUCCAAAGACUGCCAUCAGUGGCAACUGAGAAUCAUUUGCUAUCCUGCUGUCCAGCCACAUCUUCUUUCAAUAUGGCUUCCUUUCUUCUACAUGUAGCUCAAGUGUCAUCACCGCUCAUCUCCUGCUUACAUAUCUGCUCUCCUUCCUCACCUCCCACCCCCUGCCGCUGUGCCCUUUGGACUAAUCUAACCACUCCCUUUCUCUCCAUCCCUUUCCCAACCAUGGGUUGAAUGGGGCCAGUUCAUCAAGCUGGUGUGGUGUUUGUGAAUGUGAACUGAAUGUAGUGAUGUCUGAGUCUGCAGACAGUCUGGAGCCGCACGUCAGAGAGGUGUGAACUGCCUUCUUUUUUUGGUGCUGUUUUAGCUCUAAAACUGACCAAUAAUUUAAAUGCCAAAACGUAACUUUAAUUUCUGAUCAGCACAUGUAAGAAAGGAGGAGGACGGUCACAGUAUGAAGAUCUGUGCAAUCGGUUGUGAGUGACAGCUUAGCUUGGUUUCACAGGAGGGAGCUUGGGAUGUGCCUAGAGCUGAGGAGACUGCAACCCCUUGUUUUUUGUAUCUGAUCCCUGGAGCCACCAAGCUGUAAAGCAGUGCUGAGCCCAGCAGAGCAUGUAUAAUCACUUUCAAUGUCUGUGCAGUCUGGGAGUGAUCUCAGUUUGGUCCCCAAGUGGGUGACACUUGGAAGGAAACAGUGAAACUCUUCCCCAAUUCAGCCCUUGCUCCUGACUGUGCCUUUCAUACUAUCUCACAUGCCUGCCUUCAGUCCUUACAAUCCUGUUAUGUGAUGCAUUCUACUCACUUAUUAGUCUUUCUAUAGUAAUUUGUUCUGUAUUCUCCCAAUCUCUGCAGAAUGUAAUUUUGUUGAGUCGGAUACUUGUUUGUUACCUCCCUUUAAUCAUGUGGCAUUGUUUACUCACAACAUUCUGUGCUCUGGCUAGAUCCCUGUAUAGACUAAAGGGAUCCCACCAUCUCCCCUGGCAGAGCACCCAGGAUUUCUCGAGGGUACCUCAAAUGUAGGGACACAUGGAAUCAGGAAGUCUCUGUAACCCUCUGAUGGACACUGGGGAAACCAGAUACUGUGAUAUUUUGAGAGAUUAAUCUAAUAAGUGCGCACAGAUCACCUACAAUGGGAAUGCUAAGGAGUGGGGGAUGUGAUGGAUUUUCAGUUUGGUAUGUGGCCAGUUGCUGCCUACAAGCAGACUCUGAUGCUAUUCAGUCCUGCUCCAAGUUGACAGUCCUGGGAUGAAGAGCUACAGGGAUGGGGACUCCUGGUCCCAGUGAGAGGGAUAACAGGGCAUUGGGACCUGUAAGAACCAGGAUUGGGAUUGUGACGAUCGCCAGCUCUAGAGGGAGAGCAGGGGCCAACCUUGCUUUCACUGCCUCAUACCUUCUGAUUCAUUCAGAAACACUGGCUUCACACAUGCUUCCAAGGUUCCUCUGUUGUACUGUAUGUUAAAGACUGACGUCCUGAUCUGGUGAGAUGCUGAAUGACCUGAAUUCCCAUUCCCUUGAGCACCUCCCUAAUUUGCUCAGCACCUUGCGUGCUGAGGACCUGCUGCUAAGAAGGUUGUCACAGUGUUUUGUGGGCUUAAGAAAUAUUAAUCUUAUUUGUCUUUUGUAACAGGCCAUGGGUGUGGCAAGAUAAUAUAUUUAAAAUAACUGUAAAACAGGUGUGUGGUGCUUGUGUUCUCAGUGAGCCUGGGGGAUAAUUCCAGUGUUUGUUUGCUAUAAAAUGAUUAAUGCUAAUGCCAGGCCUAUGAACUAUUCUGCUGCAUUUGGAGCGGUGUGGGAAGUGUGACCCUUGUACUG